rnacentral:rRNA from 1 species
GCCCAGACUCCUACGGGAGGCAGCAGUGAGGAAUAUUGGUCAAUGGGCGAGAGCCUGAACCAGCCAAGUCGCGUGAGGGAAGACGGUCCUAUGGAUUGUAAACCUCUUUUGUCGGGGAGCAAAAAGGCCUCGUGAGGCCACAAGUGAGAGUACCCGAAGAAAAAGCAUCGGCUAACUCCGUGCCAGCAGCCGCGGUAAUACGGAGGAUGCGAGCGUUAUCCGGAUUUAUUGGGUUUAAAGGGUGCGUAGGCGGACUGGAAAGUCAGCGGUAAAAUCGAGAGGCUCAACCUCUUUCCGCCGUUGAAACUGUCGGUCUUGAGUGGGCGAGAAGUAUGCGGAAUGCGUGGUGUAGCGGUGAAAUGCAUAGAUAUCAGGAGGAACACCGGCGGCGAAGGCGGCCUGCUGGACCGCGACUGACGUUGAGGCUCGAAAGCGUGGGGAGCGAACAGGAUUAGAUACCCCAGUACA